GAUUGAACGCGUAGCUACAGGCUUAACACAUGCAAGUCGAGGGGCGAGCAUUUCGAGUUUGCUUGCAAACUGGAGAUGGCGACCGGCGCACGGGUGAGUAACACGUAUCCAACCUGCCGAUAACUCGGGGAUAGCCUUUCGAAAGAAAGAUUAAUACCCGAUGGCAUAAUUAGACCGCAUGGUCUUAUUAUUAAAGAAUUUCGGUCAUCGAUGGGGAUGCGUUCCAUUAGGUUGUUGGCGGGGUAACGGCCCACCAAGCCUUCGAUGGAUAGGGGUUCUGAGAGGAAGGUCCCCCACAUUGGUACUGAGACACGGACCAA
rnacentral:rRNA from 1 species